AACGAACGCUGGCGGCAGGCUUAACACAUGCAAGUCGAGCGCCCCGCAAGGGGAGCGGCCGACGGGUGAGUAACGCGUGGGAACGUACCUUUUGGUUCGUAACAACUCCGGGAAACUGGAGCUAAUACCGGAUAAGCGCUAACGGGGAAAGAUUUAUCGCCGAAAGAUCGGCCCGCGUCUGAUUAGCUAGUUGGUGAGGUAACGGUCCACCAAGCCGACGAUCAGUAGCUGGGCUGAGAGGAUGAUCAGCCACACUGGGACUGGGACACGGCCCAGACUCCUACGGGAGGCAGCAGUGGGGAAUAUUGGACAAUGGGCGCAAGCCUGAUCCAGCCAUGCCGCGUGAGUGAUGAAGGCCUUAGGGUUGUAAAGCUCUUUUGUCCGGGAAGAUAAUGACUGUACCGGAAGAAUAAGCCCCGGCUAACUUCGUG
rnacentral:rRNA from 1 species